rnacentral:rRNA from 1 species
GCAAUCUACCUUUUACAGGGGGAUAGCCCAGAGAAAUUUGGAUUAAUACCCCAUAGCAUUAUGGAAUGGCAUCAUUCUAUAAUUAAAGUCACAACGGUGAAAGAUGAGCAUGCGUCCCAUUAGCUAGUUGGUAAGGUAACGGCUUACCAAGGCUACGAUGGGUAGGGGUCCUGAGAGGGAGAUCC